rnacentral:lncRNA from 1 species
CCUACCUCAGCCUUCCAAAGUGUUGGGAUUACAGCACUCUCUGCCCAGUGCCUUUCUCCCCACCUCAGAAUGAAAAGCUAGGGGAACAGGAGGGAGCAUGUGCAGGGAAGCCCCCUCCCAUCAGGCCUGAAGUGCAAGUAGGCCUGUCCCUGUUCCUGCCUCACUCUUCCUGGAAAGCCUGGAUCUCUGCAUCUGAGCACCUUGCUGCCCUGGUCUGUUGCGAGCAUGUCAAGGAGCACUGGCUAGAACUUCCAUCCCUGUGGUGAAUAAGAGUGAUGAAAGUGGACACCAUCGUAUUAUUGAAUUGAAGGGAUUCAAACCUCUUCUGUGAUAAUCAUAGAACUGUAGCAUCAGAAGGCAAUUCCCUAAGUGUGGUCUGCCCACAUCCCUGGUGACACCUCUGAAAACGUGUUUAGAGAGAGAGUGAAGAAUGAGGGUGUACCUGGCGGAGCCACCAUCCUCUGCCACUU